rnacentral:hammerhead_ribozyme from 1 species
AUCCAGCUGACGAGUCCCAAAUAGGACGAAAUGAGAAUCCUGGGU